rnacentral:piRNA from 1 species
GAGGUGAUUUCUGUCUUACUUUGGG